rnacentral:rRNA from 1 species
AGAUGGCGACCGGCGCACGGGUGAGUAACACGUAUCCAACCUGCCGAUAACUCGGGGAUAGCCUUUCGAAAGAAAGAUUAAUACCCGAUGGUAUAAUAAAGCCGCAUGGUUUAAUUAUUAAAGAAUUUCGGUUAUCGAUGGGAUGCGUUCCAUUAGGCAGUUGGUGAGGUAACGGCUCACCAAACCUUCGAUGGAUAGGGGUUCUGAGAGGAAGGUCCCCCACAUUGGAACUGAGACACAGUCCAA